AGGUGGGCUGAGGUUGGGCUGGACGCUAGGGAGUGGACAAGACAAUACAGAGGCCCCUGUUUUUUAGGCCUUUGGAAGAGUAUUAGCUUAGUUGGGAUGAGUUCUAUGCUUGCAUUAGUAUGAGGAUCAAUUUAAGGUGUAGGGUGAAGUCUGGAUGAUAAAGAGAGCAGGCGGCUUUGCACUAGCGUCUUCGUGUUGCAUACUCCUUGGCUAGAUUUAUGCUGUGUUUGGAUCGUGAACUAUUAUAUAUGGUACGGUAAUUCAACGAGUUUUCUUGUUUAUAUCAUUUUUAAAUAGAUGAUAUGUUUAAUUUGGUAGUAUAUAAUGGUAGAUUAUUUUUUUAUUUUUUUCAAAAUUUUCAAACUAUUAAUAGUAAUUUUUAAUAGUUAAAUAUUAACUUUACCGUUUUAUCCUCACAUUUAUUUGUUAAUUCUCAUUUGGCCCUUAAAUCAUUUUCUUCUACCCAGAGUAUUUUUCUUUCUUCACCGCAGCUCGCUUCUUCUCUUCUCAUCUGCUUGUGCUUCUUUCGCUUCCGUAUUCUGCUUCUGCUUGUUGGGAGAGUCUCCACGGAUGUUAACUUGCUUCACCAAACACAGCAUCAAUCAAGGUAUGUGUUUAAUAAUGUAUGAUUGUUGACUUUGCUUUUGUGGUGACUUGGAAAAAAAGAAGAUCAAUUACAGGCAAUAUAUAUGUUUAGUUUACUCAUUUAAGUGGAAUUCAGAGCUUCAUUCCAUGACAAACCAUCUAUGAAUCGGAUGGUUAUACCUCUCUGCUUUCUUUACAAGGGCUAGGGUUCGGGUCACGUGGCUCCAGUUUAGGUUUCUUUGGUAAUGUGCCGAGCUGUGUGCUCCUUCUGAUGGUGUUGAAGGAAAAAAAUCUUUUGUGGGAUGACAACUCUUAACUGGAAUGUGAAUACAUACGUCAUUACAAAUUUUAACCUGUAUGGGCACAAGGACAACACAUGGGAUCUUCACAAAUUCUUCAUCCGAUAUUCAAACAUUCUCCUACUUUAGGAUUUGUAUGGAGUUUCCCUUCUUGUUGCUAAUGCAUUUCUCUGGAGUUCUCCAGAUAUUUACGAUCAAUGUCGUUGUGCUCUGCCAUAUUUCUCUUCAGUUGUCUGUUAUUGAUGUGAAAAUAGCUGUAAGGAUGCAUAUAUAGUUUGCAAAAAAGAUCCAGAUGUUGUCUGAUGGAUCAAUGAUGGUUGUUGGGUUUCUUUUGAACUUACUCUGCCCCAAAUCUAGUCAUUUUCAAGUUUCUGUUCCAGAUUAUUUUUUUCUUCUUACCAAGUAACUGUCAGUAAAUGUUCUUUUAUUCCUUCUAAGGUUGCAUUUGGUUGCUUUUGGGUUACUUUCCAAAAAGAAUUGACUAAGAAAUGAAUAGGAAAUAAACCAAACACAACGUAAUAUUACUUGGAGAACAACUUUACAAAUCUAUAUAUAUAGUUGCCUUACAUAGUUAGCUACAACAGACAUAGAACAGAUGGG
rnacentral:lncRNA from 1 species